rnacentral:misc_RNA from 1 species
UAUAAGAUCCGACUAUGAAUACUGGCCAAUGAAGCGUAGUGUAUAUACAUCUCGUUGCCAUAGCAAUUGCAUUUGUUUUCUAAUUACUCCUGUCUGUAGUUCUGGGACUUCUGGGUGGAACGUGGAUGCGAAAACGCUUGCCGCGACAAGAAACGACGCGAUAGCCCAUUAUUCUUUUGCUUUUCAGAAAAACAGUAAAUUAAAUUUAAUUAAAGCCCUAUUUGAUUUUAAAAAAUCAAGUCGAACAGAUUACGGUGAAAUAUUUGUUUAACUAUUAUUUAAACGUUUUAGAUGGCACAGAAUAUUUUUAAAUAUAAGAAUUUUUUAAUUUAUUGUGUUUGCUUUAAUUUUUUCUCAUUUUCUCACAUUAGGAACAAUAUAUGUUACUUAAUUUUCAAUAGUAUAUUUAUAUUCUUUCAAUGGGAGAAAACAAACAUAAAUCGUAUAUUGUUUAAAUAAUAUAUAUUAAUUAUAUAUUGACGUUUAUAUGUGUUUUGUCAUUUAAUUUUAUUACCCUUAAUAUAAUUAUACCAAUUAUGAAGUAAAAUAAAAUUUAUUCCAUAAUUAUAUCCUUAAGAUUAUAUAUGUAUUUCAAUUUUUAAUACAUUCCUUUUUAAAUGCGCACACACGCACUCCCCCCCUCCCCCACACACACAUACAUUUUUAGCUUAUUUUUGGGUUUUUAGGGAGGUAAGUAUAACGAAUUUUAAAAUUUAGAGUUGGCAACGCUGCUCGGUAGACGCGGUGGUCAGCGGUGGUCACUCUGCUUUGCUUCGGAUUCUGGUGUUGGUCUAUAACUCUAUAACUAUAAUUAAUAUUUACUAUUUAAUCAACAUCGACAUAUGUUUUUUCUUUGAUCUCUGUUGAAUAUUUCUCCACAGCGUUUCCCACGAGGGUCAAUGACUUUGUCUUUCAAUAUUAGUUUUUGCUUUCGAUAUUUUGACCCGUUUAUCAAUUAUCCAUUGCUUUGGUUGCGUUCAGGAAACACAAGUGAUCAGUGAGCGAUCAGUGAUUAUUGGUCCUUACUGUUAAAUCUCUAAAUUUGGACCAAUUAUAUUAGCGAAUUACUCAACUGUUGUACAACUGUUGAGUGUCCUGAACGCAACCUUUGACUAUGUGGUCGAAUCGCUCCCAUUCAUUUCAAAAUAUCGGAAUAGAAACUAUAACAAGAUUUCUUUGGGUUGUUGAUUGAAGCAAUCGACCUUUUUUGCAUUCCAAGAUUUUAUAUAUUUUUUAUUAGCUAAAUGAUCGAAACGUCCCCACGAAAUUAAAAGAGAAUAGAUACCAAAAAUUGAAGAUGUGAGAUAUGGCAUACAUUUUAUAAAUACACUUUGCGUAAGUAAUAAUUGUGCCGAUAUUAUAAUAAAUAUAACUCCAAACAAUGAAAUCAUAAUAAAAUGUAUGUGUAAGCAUAAUCAACAAUUAGUAAAAAUAAGUAAUAUUAAUGCUCGUUUUCUCUAGUGUGGUUCAAAGUUUUGGUUUACUUUAUUAAAUGUUUAAUCCGUUUAAAUAUCGUCAAAAAUAUACUUAAUCGAUGUGUUUUCGCAUUAAAAGAAAAGUUUGAAAAGAAAAAAGUGUCGCUCUGCUCUGCAAAGCGAGAUAUUAAUCGUUAAAGUUGACGACUAUUUAUAUAGCGAAUAUUUUGCACAAGAAGAAUAUUCUUUUGAACACAAUUUGCAAUAUUUAAAUGCUACCAUUGGGAAAGUGAUUCAAAGAAACACUUGACAUAUGAACAUUCAUUAAAACUAAAAGAAAUAUGCAUGAAAAGAAAUCAAACAUGGUUAUUAUGAUAUUUUGCGUUUGAUGAUAGAAUCUUUUAAGUAAAAAGAGAUGACAGAUGUAAUGAUGCAACAACUAGUAACUGAAGAGAACAAUGCAUGUACCAAUGCUCAAAGGCCUGAUACAUAUUUGCAAACCAAUAUCAAGACAAAAUAUGUAGAAGAAAAAAUACUACUAACUGAAGAGACAAGUGCAAACUCUGAUAGUCAACGGCCUAAUGCAAACUCGCAAAUCAGAGAACAUCAAGAAGAAUUAAUAUGUACAUGGAACUCCGACAAUUUGAUAUGGAAGUAUUUUACACCGAAAAACUGGCCUUUUGCAUUGUGCAACAUUUGUGAUAACUGCUACAAUGGCGAAGUCAUAGAAUAUUUAGAGGAUCAUUUGAUGUCUCAACAUCUAGAUAUCGUGAAAGAAAUACGAGCAGAACUUAGAAAUAGAUUAGCCAAUUUAUCCUUAUUUUUCUUAUUUGACAUAGAAUUAUCUUCAGCAAGAUGUAUGAUUAACAAUUGUAAAAUUAAUAUAUUUCGCGGAAUAAAUAACUUUAUAACUCAUUUGUCCAAUUAUCAUGGUAUGAAUAUAUCUGUAAAGACUGUCCAAUGUAAACGAGAAAAUGACACAGACAUAAUAAUGGAACAAUCGGUCAAGGAGAACAAUAUAAAUGCUGAUGGUCAGCGAUUUACCUCAUAUUCGCAAGUUGAAAAAUAUCAAGAAAAAGGAAUAACAGUAAAAGCUGAAAAAGAUAAUGCAAGUGCAAAUGCUGAUCAAUGGCCUGGUGUAAGUUUGCAAGCCGAAAACUAUCAAAAAUUACUAAGUAAAUGGAAUCCCGAUAAUUUUGUAUGGCGGUAUUUCAGAUUAGAAAAUCAAUCUUUUGUAAGAUGUACUAUUUGUUCUAAACGCUAUAGUACUAAUAUUAGGGAACCACAUUUAGAGAGGCAUCUGACAAAGGAACAUUCAUUAGUAAUAAACGAAAUACAAAAUGAAAUUAAACAAACCUGGUUGUCACAAUAUUUUGCAUUUGAUGUAGAAAUUUCUAACGUAAGAUGUAUGGUUAACAAUUGCCAAAUUGAUAUAUUUUGCGGAAUAAAAAGCUUAACAAAUCAUUUACAUCAUCGUCAUAAUAUUAAUAAAAAUACUCAAGUAUGUACCUUUCAACUUUUCAAAAAUUGUCGAAGAAAUGACUCGGACAGCAUAAUAAUAUUACCGCCGUUAAUAUCAAUUAAACGUGACAAUGCAAACGCUAAUGAUUAUCAACUUGAUGCACAUUCACAAGCUGUGGAAUGUCGAGAAGAAUUGCCAUGGAGUAGCAGCUACAGCUUGGUAUGGCGAUAUUUUAUUUCAGAUAUUUGGCCUUUUGCAAGAUGCAAUAUAUGUAAUCAAGUUUACAUGAGUAGAUUGGUAAUAUAUUUAGAGCGUCAUCUGAAUCGCAAACAUCCAAUAGUGUUAGAGGAAAUACACGAAGAAAUGCGAAAAGAACUUAAACGUAAUAAUUUAUCCUUAUUUUUUGACAUAACACCGUAUGAUGUAAAAUGUACCGUUAUGGGUUGCACUGUUGAGAAAAUCAAUGUAUUUCACGGAAUAUUUGGUUUAAUGUACCACUUGCGUUACUAUCAUAAUAUAACUAAAGAAGUUUUUCAAAGUCUACAAAGAAAUGACAUGGAUGUAAUUAUACGACAAUCGGUAACUGAUAGGAGCAAUGCAAAUACUGUUCAAUAUUUUGAUGUACGUUUGGAAUAUAUAGAAAGAUAUCAAGGAAUAUUAAUAUGCAUAUGGAAUUCCAAUAACUUGGUAUGGCAAUAUUUUACACCAAAAAUGUGGCCGAUUGCAAAAUGCAAUAUUUGUAAUAAGUAUUAUAAUGGUCAAAUCAUAGUAGAUUUAGAAAAUCAUUUGAUACAUCAACAUCUAAAAGUAGUGCAAUCAAUACAAGAAGCAAUUAAAGAUACAAAUUUAUCUUCAUAUUUCAUAUUUGACGUAGAAGAUUUUAAAGCAAGAUGCAUUAUUAACAAUUGCAAAAUCAACGUAUUUCAUGGACUAACUGUCUUAAGGGAUCACUUGCACUAUCAUCAUAAUAUAAAUAUAUCUAUAUAGGCUUUUCUAAGUAUAUGACAAAAUAACAGAUAUGACAUAACCGAUAGUUGAAAAUCGAUAGUUGAAGAGGACAACAUAAGUACAAACACUGAUAACUAGUGUAGUUAAAGGCUCGAUGCAAGUUUGCAAGCAGAAGGUCAAGAAGGAGACAAUGAUCUUAAAGACCAGAAUCAAUGAAAAUAACGAGCAAAAUGCGCCAACUAGCUGUUCGAUAUUCGCGCGCACCACGUGCCCCCACGUGGGUCGCUCACAGCUAGACCGAUGAUUGCUGGCUUUGACAGUCGUUUUCGAUCAAGCGAGGUGAACGCUACGUGCCUAAGUGAAUAACGUCAUGUU